AUGAAUGGAGCUCCGAUGUCUUCUACUUAGCUAUUAACCCUCUUCCCUCAUUUUUCGUCUGCUUCACGCACCAAAGAGUUUUGAAAGAGUCGCUGGCAGAGCCUCUUCGACUUCUUCUGCGAUGUCGUCUUGGAUGAAGAUGAAAGUUGGGAUCCUCGUCUCUCGCUCCUCCAGCAAACCUCCAUUAGUGAUUCUCAACGGUUGAUAAGCGCCUCUGCAAUCUCUUUGGAAUCUGGCACUCGCUCAAGAAACAUGCUUAUGAGCCUCGGUGAACUUGAACUAAGCAUUCUGUUAUUUUAUUAGUUGUUUUUCAUAAAAUGAAUCCUUAAUUCCAUUUGCUCCUUUCUGACCCUAUGGGUUUAAGAAAUUUUCUCCAAA